rnacentral:lncRNA from 1 species
GCAUAGGCCUAUUGAGACAUCCCCUUCCCCCAUACCUCAUCACACUCCCAUAGAACAUAACCCCCAUCUCUUUAUCUUUUAUAAACACAUCAACAUCCAUCUAUCAGAAUAUGAAAUGAGUCAGCAUCUCAAUAUCAUUUCCAAUGUUCAGCUCAAGCAGAAGCAUCCUCAGAAAGCCCUCGGAGAUCCACAUUAGGCCACGCACCUACUGAGCCUCUUGUAAGGAUGCCCCAUUGAGCCCGGAGACUCCCGUCCUAUUAAAUGGGUAACUGAAUAGUUGUUAUCUUCAUGGCUCCGAGGGGAGAGUUUGGACCCCGUUAAGGUUAGCAUGUAAACCUUCUUAGCUACCUCUCCAGCACCAUGCCUGCCUGUGUGUUCUCGUGCUCCACCAGGAUGAUAAUAGUCUAACCUUCUGAAAUGGAAUCACGGGCUGGCGUGCAUACUCGGACCUCUGACAGGGAAGCUAUGGAAGAAGACAACUCAGUUUCUGAUGCUUUCUUUACUCAAACCCUCCAGAAUUAAAUGAGAGGUUUUCAGCAAUGGGCAGGCCACACAGUGAUUACAUUUGAAUUUUGCUCCAUAGCCAGUAAAUAAAAUGUUGCA